rnacentral:rRNA from 1 species
AGAGUUUGAUCCUGGCUCAGGACAAACGCUGGCGGCGUGCGUAACACAUGCAAGUCGAACGCACAGAGCAAUCUGUGAGUGGCGGACGGGUGAGGAACACGUGGAUGACCUGUCCCGAGGUGGGGGAUACCGUCCAGAAAUGGGGGUUAAUCCCGCAUACGUCCGGUGGUGUGAAGCCAUCGGGGAAAGUCUUUCGAGAC